CGUUUGUUUAUACAGUGCUUCUCAGUUUGGUAAAAAAGCUGCAGAGGUCAGCUGCCCUGUCACAUCCAGCAGGGAAACAAAACCAUUAAAAGCAUCUGCACAGAGGUCAACCUUUAUCAGCUAGUUAAGGCCACGUUAAUCCUGACUUCUACAUGACUUUCUCUGAAUGCAGGUGCAGCAUCACCCAGCUUGGUCUAUCUGAAGUGAGUGCUAAGAUCAUAGUUAUCAUUGGAGGAGUACCAGGAAUCGAACUCAG
rnacentral:lncRNA from 1 species